rnacentral:rRNA from 1 species
GACCUGAUGCAGCCAUGCCGCGUGUGUGAAGAAGGCCUUCGGGUUGUAAAGCACUUUCAGUUGUGAGGAAAAGUUAGUAGUUAAUACCUGCUAGCCGUGACGUUAACAACAGAAGAAGCACCGGCUAACUCCGUGCCAGCAGCCGCGGUAAUACGGAGGGUGCGAGCGUUAAUCGGAAUUACUGGGCGUAAAGCGCACGCAGGCGGUUUGUUAAGCUAGAUGUGAAAGCCCCGGGCUCAACCUGGGAUGGUCAUUUAGAACUGGCAGACUAGAGUCUUGGAGAGGGGAGUGGAAUUCCAGGUGUAGCGGUGAAAUGCGUAGAUAUCUGGAGGAACAUCAGUGGCGAAGGCGACUCCCUGGCCAAAGACUGACGCUCAUGUGCGAAAGUGUGGGUAGCGAACAGGAUUAGAUACCCUGGUAGUCCACACCGUAAACGCUGUCUACUAGCUGUGUGUGUCUUUAAGACGUGCGUAGCGAAGCUAACGCGCUAAGUAGACCGCCUGGGGAGUACGGCCGCAAGGUUAAAACUCAAA